rnacentral:rRNA from 1 species
GAUAAACGCUGGCGGCGUGCCUAACACAUGCAAGUCGAACGUCCUCUCUCGCAAGAGAGAGGGAGUGGCGGACGGGUGAGUAACACAUGGGUCACCUACCCUUAAGUGAGGAAUACCGGCGAGAAAUCGCCGACAAGACCGCAUAGGCUCUCUCUUUUGCAACGAGAGAGCAAAGCUUCGCAAGAGGCGCUUGAGGAUGGGCCUGUGGCCGAUUAGCUGGUUGGAGGAUAAUGGCUUACCAAGGCGACGACGGGUAGCCGGCCUGAGAGGGCGACCGGCCACACUGGGACUGAGACACGGCCCAGACUCCUACGGGAGGCAGCAGUGGGGAAUCUUGCGCAAUGGGCGAAAGCCUGACGCAGCGACGCCGCGUGAGGGAUGACGG